GAUGAAGAACGUAGCGAAAUGCGAUAACUAGUGUGAAUUGCAGAAUUCCGUGAAUCAUCGAGUCUUUGAACGCACAUUGCGCCCCCUGGUAUUCCGGGGGGCAUGCCUGUCCGAGCGUCAUUGCUGCCCAUCAAGCACGGCUUGUGUGUUGGGUCGUCGUCCCCUCUCCGGGGGGGACGGGCCCCAAAGGCAGCGGCGGCACCGCGUCCGAUCCUCGAGCGUAUGGGGCUUUGUCACCCGCUCUGUAGGCCCGGCCGGUGCUUGCCGAACGCAAAUCAAUCUUUUCCAGGUUGACCUCGGAUCAGGUAGGGAUACCCGCUGAACUUAAGCAUAUCAAUAAGCGGAGGA
rnacentral:misc_RNA from 1 species